rnacentral:misc_RNA from 1 species
GAACGCACAUUGCGCCCGGCAGUAAUCUGCCGGGCAUGCCUGUCCGAGCGUCAUUUCUGCCCUCGAGCCUGUCCAGCAUCUAGGUGCUGUUCGGGUUCGGCGUUGGGGCACUACGGGAAGCCUCGUGCUAUCCCCCGUAGGCCCCGAAAUGAAGUGGCGGUCCUGCCGCGGCUCCCCCUGCGUAGUAUUACAGCUCGCUUCGGGACCCGGUGGAGGCCUGCCGUCAAACCUUACUCUCUAAGUUUGACCUCGGAUCAGGUAGGGUUACCCGCUGAACUUAAGC